GGGAGAGCGGAGGAGGUAGGAGGACUGAAGGAGUGCAGGGUGGAGUCAGUGCCAGUGGACCAGAUGGACCUGCUGAAGGACCAAGGACUGCGCGCACUCCCCAAAAUGGACUGAAGACAGGCAGAAAUAGAAAGGUGUCCAUCUGAGUGAGACAUGAGAAUGUGACAAGGAAACGAUAUCUUACAGUUGUUGGAGUUGCUGGAGAUCCAGUGCUGGUAGCCCAGGAAUUAUUAGGCUCAUUCUCCCAAAUGGACGGGGACACUGGAGUGUAGUCUGGCCAACUCUGCUGGGGCUCAGAACUCUUGGGAACAGUCAUGCCUCUGAAAACUAAUACAGAGAAUAAACUAAAUAUUGGAUACA